AUGAGAUUUUGAACUUUUGGCUAAAAUCAAAUAUAGUAUCUGUUCUUAUCAAUUUAAUAUCUGAUAUGUGGGUCUUGUGCCCACUUGGAUAUUAAAUUUAUUUUUUAUGAGGGAGGAUCUCCAUAAUAGCUUGCCAUUAGGGUUCUCAAUCGUCGCUCUAGUAUUGCGCUACAGCCUGAGCUUGGCGUACCCCAA